AUUUAUCUAAUCAGUAUUUCCCAUCUAGAGGCAGUUAUGAUUUUAACCAAAGUACAGCACCUUGCUUAAAUGAGUAGCACCCAUGUCCUUGUCAAAAGGAUAUACCUAAAAAACAAUUUGUCAGUGUAAAUUGCAGAUGCAGAUAAACAUAUAAAUCUAUUUAAGUAGUGCAUGUGCAAGAAACAGGCUCAACUAAAGUCAAUGACACCAUGUGAUCGGAUCAAUUAGGUCAUCAAGGGAUUUGCCGAUCCACAAGCAUAAAGUUAGGGACCAUGACACUUCAAGAAAAUAAGAACACCCCCGAAAAGUAAGUAAAAAUUUACAUUUUACCAUCUAUCUGUGGAAAACUUAUAUUUUGUGAGAUUUUGAGUCUAAAUAGCAGGAGUUCAACACAGUAACAUCAAACAAUAGGCCCAGUAAGGAGGUCACUUCAAAUAAAGACUUAUGGGACUUGGUUAAAUCCUCUAUAACUUGGGAAUUACAAGUUUACUCAUUCAAAAAAAAAAAAAAAACAACAACAACAACAGCAAAUCAGGUUCACAUAGCCAUCACACCAUGUUUGCUAAGUUUAACCAGAUAUCUCCCUUUAUAAUCAAAGUUCUCACUGAGAAUUGGAUGAAUUUCUUUCCGGAGCUAUGACUCCAUGGCCUUUUGACAGAGGACUAUAUUUAAGACCUUUUCACCAAAAACCUCAAUACUAAAAAGUUCUUUUUUCACCCCCAGAAAUUUGAAAAUUCCGCUUCAUAGACCCAGGGUCGAAUCUGGUCCUUUAGCUGAGCCUUACGAUUUUAGGAGGCAGGAAACUCUACCCAGAUCACAUUUGAGAAAAACAAAGGCCUCACCAUUCCUACUCACUCAUUGAUCUGAUACUUUAAUCCCCUGAAAAACCCAACUUUAAAAUCUCAUUUGCUUCCCAUAAUCAAAGCUUGACCCUAGCACAGCCAUAAAUUUUGUAACAAUACCCUGUCAUAUGCAAACAACUAAUAAAUCUACAACGAAUACUAAUCAUGUACUAUUCCUUCUUAUUUAUCUGUCAAGCUUUAAACUUUUUCCUGAUAAAUUCUUAUAAACUAUAUUAAUGAAGCAAACAACAAAACGGAAUUAAAGAUUGAAAGUAGAGAAAUAGGAAGAGGAACGAGCACUUGUCAUGCAUGACUAAAACUAAACUACACCGCAUUCUACCAAACUACACCACAUUCUCCCAAUAACAACCAUCAAGCACUUGUCAACCAAACCCAGAAAAAGAAGUUAUAUGAAUAUGGAAACCAGCUGAAUAGAUGACACGACCCAUCCCAAAUUUCACCCUGAAACCCGGAGUAAGUCGUGCGGGGACCACCUCCAAGGAAAAUUUACUGAAAAGAUUAAGCAAAUCUCCCUUGCAGAUGGACAACCCUAACUCGAAAAUUUCAUAUUACACUCUUAAUUCAACACUUCCGAACAUCACAUAAUCAUCCUUCAGAAAUUCUACACAUAAUAUACAAUAAUCCCAAAGUAUUUAGAGCUACUAAACACAAGCGGAAGAAAGAAAACACAAGUAGGUUGAACAGGUAACCUACUGACGAAAACUGGCAGAAAUGCGGGUGACUAUGCCUCGUCUCCUACUAGAUCCAACCCGAACUCUGUAGACUGGGCAAUUUAAAACGAAGGGCCCAGGGGAAAACAUUUAAUAACGUUAGAGUGAGUGGACAAAAAUAAAAUAAUAAAUAAAAUAUUUAUGUUUCCCCAAAUUAAUUUCUAAGGAAAAAUCGAAUGCAUGCCGCAAGCGAUAAAACUUUUAUCCCAUAAAAUAUCGAGCCUCUCAGACUCUAUAAUAUAUAUAUGUAUUUACACUCGUCCAUACUCCCUAUAUAAAUUCAUGGGUCUAUAUAGGGCUACUACGCUCGCGUCCAACGCUCACGUCACGCCUUAAUGCGGUGCUACACUACGCCAUCAAGGUGGACAGACGGGUGUAUAAAUAUGUGUCCAUACCCCCUAUAUGAAUUAAACACUCAAAUAGGGCUACUACGCUUACGUCCAACGCUCACGUCACACCAUAAUGCGGCUAUAUGCUACGCCAUUAAGGUGGACAGACACAUAUGGCUAGCUAGCAUUUAUAUACAUACUCUCUCAUAAUUACAUGUUUAUAUCCACCGAAAAUCCCAUUUUCGGUAUCUCUCCAAGAGAAAUAAAAAUCGUCAAAAAUUAAAAUGACGUCAAAAUACUCCACGACAUUAAUUGUUCAACCAUGAACUAUAGCAUGCAUUUAUUUAAAAUAAACGUCCACUCACAAAUUUGGCCUAAGCCUGAUGUCGAUCUGGGGCCUCGUCUGCUCGAGCCUCCUCACGUCCUGUUCCAAAUAUAAUAUUAAUUUCCCAACCAAUAAUCCAAUAUUUAAUCAAAAUAGGCAAAAUUACCCGAGAGCCAUAAAUACGCUCAUCAUUGCCUAACUUCGAUAUUCUUAAAUCGGAAUGAUCCGAACUUAAAUAUCAUACUCAACAGUCGUAAAUACAACCUCCCCAAAAUACGACUUAAAUCCUUCGGCCGGAUUCUACAUUAAUUAACCGCCAAAAAUCCAAACUUCGGAAAUUCACAAACCUAUCCAAAUCUCAUCCAAAAAUUCCAUAAAUCACAUCAAUAAACUCCUCUUAAUAUUCCACACUUAAAACCCUAAAAAUCUCCUAACCGGCGGCGACGCCGCCGGCAGUGGCGGCCGGAGGCCAAUUCCGGCGACCUCCAAAACCUAUGAAAUUUUGACAGAAUAAUCCUCUCAUCAAGCUCUACAACUUUCAUAACUAGCACAAACACCAAUUCCAAGCCUAACUAGGGCAAUCGACUAAAAACAUCCAUAAAUCCCUAAAACUUUCAAUUAUACAAACCACCCUAACGAAAUCGAAUUUAGCCGAAACCUUUCGAGGGAUUACUCACCUAGAUGAGGGCUACAAGUUGAGCCAAAAAUCACGACCUAUGGUGGCCGGAAGACGGAGCUCCGGCGAAAAACCCUUUCCGGCAGUCGAACCUUUCGGGGUUGACCGCUCCUUCACGGCGGCGUUCCGCACGCGUGCACCGGUCCAGGAUGAGAGAGGAAGAGGCAAGGGUCCGAACGGGACCAGUUUGGCGGUCGGUGGUGGCCGGACGGCGGCGGACGGCGGUGGUGAAGUUUCUGGGCGGAGGGAGAAGAAAAUCGGGUGGGAGGAGAGAUAGGGAUACUGCUGCAUCAUUUGCUUCUCUGAUUCCCAAGUAGCUUCUUCUACUUGAUGACUCCUCCAAAGCACCUUGACAAGCGGGAUUGUCUUGUUUCUAAGCACUUGCUCCUUUCGGUCGAGAAUCUGAACCGGUUCCUCUUCAUAGGACAAGUCUCUCGUCAAACUAAUCGGCUGCUCUUGCAGCACAUGAGAAAGAUCGGCAAUAUACUUGCGAAGCAUGGAUACAUGAAACACAUUAUGUAUCCUAGCUAACUCUGGAGGUAAGGCUAAUCGAUAAGCAAGUGAACCAACUCGCUCUAUUAUCUCAUAUGGGCCAAUAUACUUCGGGCUAAGCUUCCCACGCUUCCCAAAGCGCACAACCCCUUUCCAAGGAGAUAAUUUCAGGAACACCCAAUCACCCACUCGAAAUUCAAGAUCUCUCCUACGGACAUCUGCAUAACUCUUNNNNNNNNNNNNNNNNNNNNCCGCCGCGGUCGGAUCAUCACUCUAUAGACACUACGUGCUACUUAGGCAAAUAUGAUAAUGACAAGGAAGCAGGAAAAGGAAACCUAUAGCUCUGAUACCAACUGGACACGACCCACCCCGAAUUUCACCCUGAAACCCGGAGUAAGUCGUGCGGGGACCACCUCCAAGGAAAAUUUACUGAAAAGAUUAAGCAAAUCUCCCUUGCAGAUGGACAACCCUAACUCGAAAAUUUCAUAUUACACUCUUAAUUCAACACUUCCGAACAUCACAUAAUCAUCCUUCAGAAAUUCUACACAUAAUAUACAAUAAUCCCAAAGUAUUUAGAGCUACUAAACACAAGCGGAAGAAAGAAAACACGAGUAGGUUGAACAGGUAACCUACUGACGAAAACUGGCAGAAAUACGGGUGACUAUGCCUCGUCUCCUACUAGAUCCAACCCGAACUCUGCAGACUGGGCAAUUUAAAACGAAGGGCCCAGGGGAAAACAUUUAAUAACGUUAGAGUGAGUGGACAAAAAUAAAAUAAAUAAAUAAAAUAAUUUAUGUUUCCCCUAAACUUAAAUUUCUUAAGGAAAAAUACGAAUGCAUGCUGCAAGCGAUAAAACCUUUAAUUCCCACUAAAAAUAAUUCGAGCCUCUCAGACUCUAUAAUAUAUGUAUGUAUUUACUACUCGUCCAUACUCCCUACUAUAAAUUCAUGGGUCUAUAUAGGGCUACUACGCUCGCGUCCAACGCUCACGUCACGCCUUAAUGCGGUGCUACACUACGCCAUCAAGGUGGACAGACGGGUGUAUAAAUAUGUGUCCAUACCCCCUAUAUGAAUUAAACACUCAAAUAGGGCUACUACGCUUACGUCCAACGCUCACGUCACACCAUAAUGCGGCUAUAUGCUACGCCAUUAAGGUGGACAGACACAUAUGGCUAGCUAGCAUUUAUAUACAUACUCUCUCAUAAUUACAUGUUUAUAUCCACCGAAAAUCCCAUUUUCGGUAUCUCUCCAAGAGAAAUAAAAAUCGUCAAAAAUUAAAAUGACGUCAAAAUACUCCACGACAUUAAUUGUUCAACCAUGAACUAUAGCAUGCAUUUAUUUAAAAUAAACGUCCACUCACAAAUUUGGCCUAAGCCUGAUGUCGAUCUGGGGCCUCGUAUGCUCGAGCCUCCUCACGUCCUGUUCCAAAUAUAAUAUUAAUUUCCCAACCAAUAAUCCAAUAUUUAAUCAAAAUAGGCAAAAUUACCCGAGAGCCAUAAAUACGCUCAUCAUUGCCUAACUUCGAUAUUCUUAAAUCGGAACGAUCCGAACUUAAAUAUCAUACUCAACAGUCGUAAAUACAACCUCCCCAAAAUACGACUUAAAUCCUUCGGCCGGAUUCUACAUUAAUUAACCGCCAAAAAUCCAAACUUCGGAAAUUCACAAACCUAUCCAAAUCUCAUCCAAAAUUCCAUAAAUCACAUCAAUAAACUCCUCUUAAUAUUCCACACUUAAAACCCUAAAAAUCUCCUAACCGGCGGCGGCCGGAGGCCAAUUCCGGCGACCUCCAAAACCUAUGAAAUUUUGACAAAAUAAUCCUCUCAUCAAGCUCUACAACUUUCAUAACUAGCACAAACACCAAUUCCAAGCCUAACUAGGGCAAUCGACUAAAAACAUCCAUAAAUCCCUAAAACUUUCAAUUAUACAAACCACCCUAACGAAAUCGAAUUUAGCCGAAACCUUUUGAGGGAUUACUCACCUAGAUGAGGGCUACAAGUUGAGCCAAAAAUCACGACCUAUGGUGGCCGGAAGACGGAGCUCCGGCGAAAAACCCUUUCCGGCAGUCGAACCUUUCGGGGUUGACCGCUCCUUCACGGAGGCGUUCCGCACGCGUGCACCGGUCCAGGAUGAGAGAGGAAGAGGCAAGGGUCUGAACGGGACCAGUCUGGCGGUCGGUGGUGGCCGGACGGCGGCGGACGGCGGUGGUGAAGUUUCCGGGCAGAGGGAGAAGAAAAUCGGGUGGGAGGAGAGAGAAUCGGGAGGAAAAGAGAAAAGUGAGGGGAGAGAAAUGUAUGGGCUUGGCCCAAACCGGUCCACACCACUUAUAACCCAAUCUUCCAAAAUAAAAACACCCCGAAAAAUAAUACCCGAAUAAAAAUUACCUUUUACUAGCUAAAAUUUACCAUUUUCACCGUUGUCGUAUUUUCCUCAUACGAAUAAUCCUCCGCACAUAAUCGUCCCCGAAACCCCUCUAGGGACCAAUUAAACUAUUUACUCAAUGAUCGAGACGGUAAAAUUCUUAUUAUAAUCACGCUAGAAAAUAAGGUAAAAAUAUAAGGGUCGGGAUGUGACAAUAGAUAUAAGAUGAAAACAAAAAUAGACUACACAGAGAAGCUAGGCCAGUUAAUUGACUAAUAAGUAACUUUUGCUGCACAUACAUGAAUGUAUUGAAAUCAAAAUACAUGAAUGACAAAAUAAUAUGAAUAUGGAAAGAUGGUUCAGCAACAACUUUGAAAUUUGUCUAAAGUGGUGGUGUAAAAGACUAAAAUAACAACAUUGGACCUAACCUAACCAAAACAAUGCAAGCAUGAAUUUAGAAUUCAUAUCAACUGAUCCAACUCAAAUCAUACUUAAUAGCCAUGUGAUAUACAAGUGCACAAUAGAGGUUAUUCAUAAACUAAGAGCAAUGG
rnacentral:lncRNA from 1 species